AGGCCGGCAGAAAUAGGUCAAAGAGAUAGGAUAGCAAGGCGUCGCAAUGCGGUAACUAUGCUCACAUCUCCCAUAAUCAGGCGCAGACCAUAAUGAAACCUUCUUCCCUUCACUUCAAGGGAAAGGGCGGCAUGAUGCAGCACUAGAGUGACAAGAAUAGCUCAAAUGCUAACCGCAAAGUUGACAGAUUUAGCCAUCCUGUUGAGAAAGUGAAGAAGCUCUCACACGAAGCCUGGCCAUGGUGUGAAAUACAGGUAUCUGGAUGGUUGGAGAGCUAAACGGUCUAUAGAUAUUAAGGGAAUAUUACACUGAAGUGUUAACAAUUUUUAUAUUAUUGUGCAGUCUACGAUGCAAUUCCUUAUUUAUAUGACUGUACCUCUGGUUCUAAUAGAACUUAAUUUCACGAGUUUAUUCAACAAAAUAUCCUCAAGAUAGGAAUUUUGAAAGAAGAA
rnacentral:sRNA from 2 species